rnacentral:rRNA from 1 species
CAGUCGCCACGGUAACACCGAGGGUGCAAGCGUUAAUCGGAAUUACUGGGCGUAAAGCGCGCGUAGGUGGUUUGUUAAGUUGGAUGUGAAAUCCCCGGGCUCAACCUGGGAACUGCAUCCAAAACUGGCAAGCUAGAGUAUGGUAGAGGGUGGUGGAAUUUCCUGUGUAGCGGUGAAAUGCGUAGAUAUAGGAAGGAACACCAGUGGCGAAGGCGACCACCUGGACUGAUACUGACACUGAGGUGCGAAAGCGUGGGGAGCAAACAGGAUUAGAUACCCCUGUAGUCCCUGUCUCUUAUAA